UACGUAGGGCGCAAGCGUUAUCCGGAAUUAUUGGGCGUAAAGAGCUCGUAGGCGGUUCGUCGCGUCGGCUGUGAAAUCCCGAGGCUCAACCUCGGGUCUGCAGUCGAUACGGGCGGACUGGAGUACUGCAGGGGAGACUGGAAUUCCUGGUGUAGCGGUGAAAUGCGCAGAUAUCAGGAGGAACACCGGUGGCGAAGGCGGGUCUCUGGGCAGUUACUGACGCUGAGGAGCGAAAGCGUGGGGGAGCGAACAGG
rnacentral:rRNA from 1 species